AGAGCAAUUUAAUGCCUUCAAGCAAAAGCAACCAGAGGAAUCGUCAAGAAAAGUAAACGCCAUUAAGACUUGCUUGAUUUGAAAGGCAUGAAGACACAACGUGAAGAGACUGUUUGUGAAUAUGCAGUAACUUGACCGCUACAGCUGGAUCAAGGAAAACACCAGCACCUUUUCUGCAAAAUGAGGUAAGUUAACGUUAUGUUUACGUUAGACUUCAUGUUUUUGUUUUAGAUGACACACACGACUUUAAACCCCAAAUAAUGAAAGAUUAAUUUACAUUUAGCAUGACUGCUAUUAUCUAAACUUCUGCCUGUAAUGUUAGUCAUUCUUUCCCUUCUCAUUUGUUCAUUUCAUAAUGUUUCUGUUGUUUUCUUAUCUAUUAACAGGACUUUUCUGCUGUAGUUUACAUCCCAAGCACCACCUGCAUGCUUCUUAUGGGUGGUGGACAUUCAGGGUUGCUGUCAUUCAAGAAGUUAUUGACCACAUCUCCUACCCUAUUGAGGCAGUAAGAUGCAAAAUACCUGAAGAAUAUGGCACUUAUCCUGGAGUUCAUAUAAAGAAAUCCUGAACGAAGGUUGAAAAGGCUGAGAUGAAGGAAACGUCCCCAUUCCUCCAAAACUGCUGAAGUUCCUGUAUGAACAACUUCGAAAAACCAGCUGGCAUCUUGGGGAGGACGACCUCGCAUCCAGUAUGCUGCUGUGGGUGCCGCAGGAUUUCGAACUCAUUCGAUCACUUGUCUCUAUGCUUUUCGAACUGUGGCGACUAAUCGUGCCUUGCUGUGGGUCAAGCCGCUGGAUCUUCAGAUCUUCUUCGAUUUGCUUAAUCCAUCCUUUUUUUGGGUGCAAUGCGCUGGAUUCUACACUGGGUUGGCCGUUUCCUCCAGAGGACUUGUGUGGUAUUCAAUUUGCAUCCAUUCUGCAUGUGUCCAAACAUUUCACUCUAUUGACUAGAAGUCUAAAGCAAUUUUUAAAAGCAGAAGCCUUAUCUUCAUUGCAUUUUGUUUGUUUCUGUAUUGUAUCGUAUUCUAUUAGUAUUGCAUUUGAAAAUGUUUUGAAUCUUGACUUUCACAGUUUAUGAAGGUUUUUUUUUUCCAUUUUUUUAAAAUAAUUUUGUGAGCUAUUUGGUACAACACCAAUAUUGUGCAAGUACCUGCUCGUUUUCUUUUUUUUUUUUUCAUUUCUCCCAUGUUUGUUUAAUGUCUUAACUUUUUCCACAAUACAAGCACUUUUUUAUGGUGCUUUGCACAUUGUUAAAUUGUGUGUGUCUGUCUGUGUAUAUCAAUUUUUACCCAUUGAAUGCGUUUUAAGAAUGUUUACAUGAAAUUUUUACAGAAAAAUAAAACAUGUUCAAUAUGUAUA